GGAGUUGAUCACGCGGCCGCAGGCACGAGGCGGCAAAGCGGUGCCUGAGGAAAGUCCGAACAGCGCAGGGUAUGGUGCCAGGUAACGCCUGGCGGGGGCGACCCCAGGGAAAGUGCCACAGAAAAGAAGACCGCCUUCUUCGGAAGGUAAGGGUGAAACGGUGCGGUAAGAGCGCACCAGCGGUCCGGGCAACCGGCCGGCUUGGCAAACCCCACCAGCUGCAAGGCCAAAUAGGGGAGGGAUGACGUGACCCGCCGACCUCCCGGGUUGGCCGCUGGAGGCGCCUGGCGACAGGCGUCCUAGAUUGAUGGCCGCGCACGACAGAAUUCGGCUUAUGAUCAACUCCCGUU
rnacentral:RNase_P_RNA from 1 species